ACGGGAGGCAGCAGUGGGGGAUAUUGCACAAUGGGGGAAACCCUGAUGCAGCAACGCCGCGUGAGGGAAGAAGGUUUUCGGAUUGUAAACCUCUGUUUUUAGUGAAGAAACAAAUGACGGUAGCUAAAGAGGAAGCCACGGCUAACUACGUGCCAGCAGCCGCGGUAAUACGUAGGUGGCAAGCGUUGUCCGGAUUUACUGGGUGUAAAGGGUGCGCAGGCGGGACUGCAAGUUGGAUGUGAAAUACUGAGGCUUAACCUUGGGGCUGCAUCCAAAACUGUGGUUCUUGAGUGGAGUAGAGGUAAGCGGAAUUCCGAGUGUAGCGGUGAAAUGCGUAGAUAUUCGGAGGAACACCAGUGGCGAAGGCGGCUUACUGGGCUCUAACUGACGCUGAGGCACGAAAACAUGGGUAGCAAACAGGAUUAGAUACCCUGGUA
rnacentral:rRNA from 1 species